AUCGAACGCUGGCGGCAGGCCUAACACAUGCAGGUCGAGCGGAUGAAGGGAGCUUGCUCCUGGAUUCAGCGGCGGACGGGUGAGUAAUGCCUAGGAAUCUGCCUGGUAGUGGGGGAUAACGUCCGGAAACGGGCGCUAAUACCGCAUACGUCCUGAGGGAGAAAGUGGGGGAUCUUCGGACCUCACGCUAUCAGAUGAGCCUAGGUCGGAUUAGCUAGUUGGUGGGGUAAAGGCCUACCAAGGCGACGAUCCGUAACUGGUCUGAGAGGAUGAUCAGUCACACUGGAACUGAGACACGGUCCAGACUCCUACGGGAGGCAGCAGUGGGGAAUAUUGGACAAUGGGCGAAAGCCUGAUCCAGCCAUGCCGCGUGUGUGAAGAAGGUCUUCGGAUUGUAAAGCACUUUAAGUUGGGAGGAAGGGCAGUAAGUUAAUACCCUGCUGUUUUGACGUUACCAACAGAAUAAGCACCGGCUAACUUCGUG
rnacentral:rRNA from 1 species